UGUGAAGUGCCUGAUAAAAGGGUUAUUUUGAUAGGAUAAAUUAUGCAAUAAAGUUGCCUUCAUUA
rnacentral:tRNA from 1 species